GACACAUCGAACAGGUUUGGUUCAUUUUUAAUAAUCUGAUUUACCAUUCUUAUUUUUUAGAAUUUUUCCUUCACAGCUAAAAGUUGAGCAGAUUUUCCUCUAAUUUCCCCAUUUGCGUUUUUGUGGGUCGAUUUUAUUUACUGUUGGAUUUCUGGAUUUUAAUUUUUUGCUUUCAAAAUUUUAAUGUUUCAUUUUUAAAGAAAUGUUUUAGUUGGUAAUACAAAAAACUGAAGUUGGAUGCGUGAUUCAAGAAGUUUCUUUUUUCUUCCCCUAAGUUUUUGCUGUUUAUGGCUUAAUUAUCUUGGUAUCAAUGGGUUAGGUGGCGGCGUCCACAAAUCAGG
rnacentral:misc_RNA from 1 species